GUUGAAGAACGUAGCGAAAUGCGAUACGUAGUGUGAAUUGCAGAAUUCAGUGAAUCAUCGAAUCUUUGAACGCACAUUGCACCUCUCGGUAUUCCGGGAGGUAUGCCUGUUCGAGCGUCAUUUGUACCCUCAAGCUCUGCUUGGUGUUGGGUGUUUGUUCCGCCUCUGUGUGUGAACUCGCCUCAAAACAAUUGGCAGCCGGCGUAUUGAUUUCGGAGCGCAGUACAUCUCGCGCUUUGCACUCAUAACGACGACGUCCAAAAGUACAUUUUUACACUCUUGACCUCGGAUCAGGUAGGGAUACCCGCUGAACUUAAGCAUAUCAAUAAGCGGAGGA
rnacentral:misc_RNA from 1 species